rnacentral:lncRNA from 1 species
GAGUGGGGAAAAAUUGGAUAAGCAGACUCUGAAAGCAGAAAUAGAAAUUUGACUCACUGGCCUGACCUCAGGUGUUUAGCAUAUGUGAGUGCAAGAUUGAGAUCCUUACCGAUAAUGUAGAAGCUGUGGAGCAGAUUGUGCGCGAAGGUGGAAGCAAGACCCUACCAAAACCGAUUCAUUUGUAGUGUACAUGUGCCUGAGUGAGACAAAGACACUGAACGUAGGGUUAAUACCAAAUCUAAACCCAAAAGAGGGAUAAAUACUUUAUCUACUUGUUUGAAAUUGUUGCUUUUCAUUUCA